rnacentral:rRNA from 1 species
AACCUCAUCCGAAGGGAUCGGGUAACCUUUGCAACGCACAUCGUGAUGGGGAUAGAUUAUUGCAAUUAUUAGUCUUGAACGAGGAAUUCCUAGUAAGCACAAGUCAUCAGCUUGUGUUGAUUACGUCCCUGCCCUU